CAAGUCGAGCGGAUGAGUGGAGCUUGCUCCAUGAUUCAGCGGCGGACGGGUGAGUAAUGCCUAGGAAUCUGCCUGGUAGUGGGGGACAACGUUUCGAAAGGAACGCUAAUACCGCAUACGUCCUACGGGAGAAAGCAGGGGACCUUCGGGCCUUGCGCUAUCAGAUGAGCCUAGGUCGGAUUAGCUAGUUGGUGAGGUAAUGGCUCACCAAGGCGACGAUCCGUAACUGGUCUGAGAGGAUGAUCAGUCACACUGGAACUGAGACACGGUCCAGACUCCUACGGGAGGCAGCAGUGGGGAAUAUUGGACAAUGGGCGAAAGCCUGAUCCAGCCAUGCCGCGUGUGUGAAGAAGGUCUUCGGAUUGUAAAGCACUUUAAGUUGGGAGGAAGGGCAGUAAGUUAAUACCUUGCUGUUUUGACGUUACCGACAGAAUAAGCACCGGCUAACUUCGUGCCAGCAGCCGCGGUAAUACGAAGGGUGCAAGCGUUAAUCGGAAUUACUGGGCGUAAAGCGCGCGUAGGUGGUUUGUUAAGUUGGAUGUGAAAGCCCCGGGCUCAACCUGGGAACUGCAUCCAAAACUGGCAAGCUAGAGUAUGGCAGAGGGUGGUGGAAUUUCCUGUGUAGCGGUGAAAUGCGUAGAUAUAGGAAA
rnacentral:rRNA from 1 species